AUUGAACGCUGGCGGCAGGCUUAACACAUGCAAGUCGAGCGAGCGGCGGACGGGUGAGUAAUGUCUGGGAAACUGCCUGAUGGAGGGGGAUAACUACUGGAAACGGUAGCUAAUACCGCAUACCAUCAGAUGUGCCCAGAUGGGAUUCGCUAGUAGGUGGGGUAAUGGCUCACCUAGGCGACGAUCCCUAGAUGGUCUGAGAGGAUGACCAGCCACACUGGAACGGAGACACGGCCCAGACCCCUACGGGAGGCAGCAGUGGGGAAUAUUGCACAAUGGGCGCAAGCCUGAUGCAGCCAUGCCGCGUGUGUGAAGAAGGCCUUCGGGUUGUAAAGAACUUUCAGCGAGGAGGCGUUACUCGCAGAAGAAGCACCGGCUAACUCCGUGCCAGCCGCCGCGGUAAUUC
rnacentral:rRNA from 1 species